AUGGAAGUGAUGAUUAUUUCCCCAGAUGAUCGAAGCUGAACAUACUGUGCGAUUAGAUUCUCAUUUUUCAUGAGAAUCCAAGCCAGGAAUCUGAUCCAU
rnacentral:snoRNA from 2 species